UCAGAGGCACUUGAGUCCAUGAUUUAAAGCGCCAGAAUAAAGAGAAACGGCCAACAGUAGGAAUUACUUUUGUCGAUGAAGACCAUGUGGUGAGCGAGCUAACUCCACCACCAGCUGUGCCCGCAUCUUCCAGAAAGAUUCAAGUCUCUGAUAUCGAAAGCCUCUCAGAUGAGAAUUCUUAUGACGCUUUCGAGUCAGCAAAUGGUUAUUGCCUUGUUAGCAUGGACACUUUAAGGAAAUUUUGUGACAGGAUUCAUUCACACUCUUCAUGCUCUUCAGGCCAUGUUGAGUUAGAAGAAGACUGUACAAGUAGAUUUGGCUUGAGCAGUUCCAUCUAUGCCAGGUGUGAUGAAUGUGGAAUGUGAGAACUACUUGCCACUGGAUACCACAAAUCUGAUGCCACAUGACCGAAUACUAUCCAAGGAAAAGAUUUAAAUCAAGGAGUUGUUUAUGUAAAGAUGGAACAGUUUUUAGUGUUCCAUCUUUACAUAAAGUCAAUACUCCGGAGUUGUUUAUGGUGCCUUUGAAAUGGGUUUAGGAAGAGAAGGAAUAGCCAAACUCUGUGAAGUGUUAGAUAUGCCUUUCAGUAUUUCAAUGAUACAUGGUAUAGACAUGAGGAUGCUCUCUUAGAGGCCCACACUGAUGUCAUCCGAGGAGAACUAGCCAAGAACAGAGCUGAAGCUAGAAAGCUUGCAUUGCUAGAGAUGGGUGAGGAAGGUAACAAUGAGAAUGCAAUAGCUGAAGUACCAGUGAGUUUUGAUGGCACCUGGUCUAGGCGAGGCUAUUCUGCCAAUCUCUGUGUAAGCUCCGUAAUAUCAGCAGCAUCUGGAAAAGUUCUUGACUUUGAGGUCAUUUCUAAAGUCUGCAGUCAGUGUAACCAGAAAAAAGCCAAUUGUACACAAGAGGCAUUUGAGGAUUGGUUGUAAACUCAUGACUGUCAAGGCAGCUAUGGUGAUUCCAGCCCAAGUAUGGAAAUGGAAUGCACCAAGCGAUUAUGGGCUAGGAGCAGACAAUAUGGCUUAAUGUACAAGUAGAUGAUAUCUGAUGGAGACUCAAAGUCAUAUUCAUCAAUAUGGAACAUAUAUGGAGCAUGUGACACUUUCAAUUGCUUUGAGAAAAUGGAACCAGCCUCUAAGGAGGCAGGCAAGACAAAGGGAUGAAGAGCUGAGGUCCAACCGGGAAGGUGUGACAUAUGAGGCAGGAGGCUUCAAUGAUCUUGGACUGAACAGUGGACCACCAAGAAAGAGAAAAAA